CGCGUGGGAAACCUGCCCUCCAGAGGGGGAUAACAGUCCUAACGGACUGCUAAUACCGCAUUCGAUCCUCCGGUCGCCUGACCGGCGGAUGAAAGGUGGCCUCUCCUUGGAAGCUGCCGCUGGGGGAUGGUCCCGCGUCCCAUUAGCUUGUUGGUGGGGUAAAGGCCUACCAAGGCUACGAUGGGUAGCCGGCCUGAGAGGGUGUCCGGCCACACUGGGACUGAGAUACGGCCCAGACUCCUACGGGAGGCAGCAGUCGAGAAGCUUCGGCAAUGGGCGAAAGCCUGACCGAGCGACGCCGCGUGAGCGAUGAAGGCCUUAUCGGUUGUAAAGCUCUGUCAGAUUGGGAAGAAAACUCCGAGGUUAAUACCCUUGGGGCUUGACGGUACCAUCAGAGGAAGCACCGGCUAACUCCGUGCCAGCAGCCGCGGUAAUACGGAGGGUGCGAGCGUUGUUCGGAUUUACUGGGUAUAAAGGGUGCGUAGGCGGACCGAUAAGUCAGAGGUGAAAUCUGCCGGCUCAACCGGCAAAUUGCCUCUGAAACUGUCGGCCUUGAGUCCGGGAGAGGAAGGUGGAAUUCCUGGUGUAGCGGUGAAAUGCGUAAAUAUCAGGAGGAACACCGGUGGCGAAGGCGACCUUCUGGCCCGGCACUGACGCUGAGGCACGAAAGCUAGGGGAGCGAACGGGAUUAGAUACCCCGGUAGUCCUAGCCGCAAACGAUGGGCACUAGGUGUUGGAGGAGUCUACCCCUUCAGUGCCGCAGCUAAUGCAUUAAGUGCCCCACCUGGGGAGUACGAUCGCAAGGUUGAAACUCAAAGGAAUUG
rnacentral:rRNA from 1 species